rnacentral:rRNA from 1 species
ACCUCGGGUGACAGGGAGACAGGUGGUGGCAUGGUGUCGGUCAGCUCGUGUCGUGAGAUGUUGGGUUAAGUCCCGCAACGAGCGCAACCCCUACGUUAGUUGCUAACGCGUGAAGGCGAGCACUCUAGACGAACUGCCGUUGACAAAACGGAGGAAGGUGGGGAUGACGUCAAAUCAUCAUGCCCCUUAUGUUCUGGGCUACACACGUGCUACAAUGGCCGGUACAGACGGACGCAAAGCCGCGAGGUGGAGCAAAUCCUAAAAAGCCGGUCUCAGUUCGGAUUGCAGGCUGCAAUUCGCCUGCAUGAAGUCGGAAUCGCUAGUAAUCGCAGGUCAGCAUACUGCGGUGAAUACGUUCCCGGGCCUU